GGCACGUACCCCAGCGCGCUCCGGCGUUCGCGCGGCGCACGAUCGUCGGCCGAGCCUUCGGCGAGGCGGUGGGGGCAGGGAUUGCCGGGCGGAGAAGGGUGAGGAAGCGGAACAUCCUCCGGCGAUGCGCUUCCGCGCGGCGCGUGGUCGUCGUCCGACAUUGGAAGCCGAAGCCGACGCUCCUUAGGGAUUUGGAGGUUACGGAGUACUAGGGCAGGACGGCGAGGUUUAGGGGAGAACUGGAGAAGCGAUGGGAACAGGCAAGACAAAGAGAAAUGGAGGGAGGGAAGGGGGCUGGCCGGCUGGCAAGAGGACGCCGGUGGUGGGCCUGUUGUGAUAAAGCCCAGAAUGAAGAUAUAUGGACAUACACGAGGCCCUUUUAUGAGAAAGCCCAGGAGCGAUACUACAGAGUACACACAAUGAUCGGGCUAAUUCUAAAAAAAAAAAAAAACAACACACACACACAAUGAUCGGGCUAUCUUGCCAAGUGUUUUUAUUCUUUUCAAACUUGCUAUCCUCUCCUAUCCAAAUUAAUUAUCAUAAUUUUAGUCAGAUUUGGUCUAGAUACAUAGGCAUGUAGACGCGUUCCGAUGUGUUGGUUUGCUCAUUUUGAAAAAAAAGUUGCGAGAAUUAAUUUUGGUUCGGAGGAAUAUUAUUCUUUUAGCUUUAAAAAAUUUAGAUGCCUUUUCCUUGUUACCACUCAGGUAACAAGUUUUGCCAAAAUACGACCACAAUUGGGUUCUAGCAGGGCAAAAUACAACUACCGGC
rnacentral:lncRNA from 1 species